GCUGCAGUAGCUCAGUGGUAGAGCCCCUGCUUCGUGUACGGGGAGACCCGGGUUCGAUUCCCGGCUGCUACC
rfam:Toxocara canis scaffold110, whole genome shotgun sequence.